ensembl:lncRNA
AUGACACUUGGAUGGGAUGGCUGCAUACCCAUGGCUGUCCUACCCUUCACCAGCCCUCGCCAAAACAUACCUGCCUGCAAGUGCCUGAUGAUGCUGUCAUGGGGUAGCCUGGAGUCCUCUCUAACUCAAGACAACAGGAAGUCAGCAGCUCACCUCCCCCGGGCAUCACACGGAGUCAGCCAGGAGUCCCUUGUGUGGGGAAUGACUGCCUCGUGGAGCGCCCUGCAGAUCUCCGACAGCAGCUGUCUCUGUCCCAGGCACUGGCAGAGGGAGGGGAUGGAGUCCCCUCCAGAUCAGAGUCAGAGAUGGCAGCAGAAGCCCCUCCAGGCAGCACAUGGCCCCAGGACACUUGCUGGGCGGGCCCCAAGAAGUCUCAUACUUCUGGGCAGUGCAGGACUCAGCACCCUUUGGACAGAUCUCCCUCCCACUGUCUCCCUAAACACUGAGAACUGAGCUUCUUAUAAAUGCUUUUGGGUGUUAAGAAUGCGGCUCGGGAAGGCUGUGAUCACACCACUGCACUCCAGCCGGGAUGACAGAGGAAGGCCCUGUCUCGAAGGAAAAAAAAAAGAGUGUGGCAGUAGAUCUGGGUGGCCCUUCCCUCUGAGAGAGUGGGUGGCAGGGAGUGGCUGGGUGUGAGGGGUGCGUGUGCCACGGCUCAAGGAGAGGGAGUCCCCACAGGUCCCCACAUGGCUGCGUCAGCAGCUCUGGCUUCCAGCAAGUGGUGGGAGGGGAGGACGUGUUUGUCUGAAAAGGUUACUGAAGGUUGUUUCACUCAAAGGAUUUAGUUCUUUGCAUCCUGGCCGCUUGGAGCCCAGAGCUGGGGGAGGUGGGAGACACAGUGGGGUUUUCAGCUCAUCUCCGCUCUGGGCGGGCUGGGGGCAGGGGCAGGGACUGGGUGUCCGCUGUGGAUGCUGCUGCUGCACUCCUUGCAAGAAGGGAGGGGGUUCUGGUGAGGAAGGGCCAGAGCCCAGGUGUUCACACCUGCUGUGUGCUGAGCCUGUGCGGGUGCUGCCCAGGUGUUCACACCUGCUGUGUGCUGAGCCUGCGCGGGUGCUGCCCAGGUGUUCACACCUGCUGUGUGCUGAGCCUGUGCGGGUGCUGCCCAGGUGUUCACACCUGCUGUGUGCUGAGCCUGCGUGGGUGCUGCCCAGGUGUUCACACCUGCUGCGUGCUGAGCCUGCACGGGUGUUGCCCAGGUGUUCACACCUGCUGCGUGCUGAGCCUGCGCGGGUGCUGCCCAGGUGUUCACACCUGCUGUGUGCUGAGCCUGCGUGGGUGCUGCCCAGGUGUUCACACCUGCUGUGUGCUGAGCCUGUGCGGGUGUGGGUGCGGGUACUGCCCAGGUGUUCACACCUGCUGUGUGCUGAGCCUGUGCGGGUGCUGCCCAGGUGUUCACACCCGCUAUGUGCCGAGCCUGUGUGGGUGCUGGGGACAUGAGGACCCUGCCCCUGAGGAGUGUUCAGCCCUGGAGAGGGGCUGAUGGCCAUGCAGGUCACCAUGGAGCCAAAGUUCUCAAAUGGAGGCAAUUGUGUCUCCCAGGGACCAUUUGUCAAUG